AGACUGAAGUUGGCUUCAAAGAAAUCCACCAUUGAAGACGAUCAAAAUGGUGGAGAAUAAGUCUUACAGAAUUAUGUUCU
rnacentral:sRNA from 1 species